UGGGGAAUUUUGGACAAUGGGCGAAAGCCUGAUCCAGCAAUGCCGCGUGUGUGAAGAAGGCCUUCGGGUUGUAAAGCACUUUUGUCCGGAAAGAAAUCCUUGGCUCUAAUACAGUCGGGGGAUGACGGUACCGGAAGAAUAAGCACCGGCUAACUACGUGCCAGCAGCCGCGGUAAUACGUAGGGUGCAAGCGUUAAUCGGAAUUACUGGGCGUAAAGCGUGCGCAGGCGGUUUGCUAAGACCGAUGUGAAAUCCCCGGGCUCAACCUGGGAACUGCAUUGGUGACUGGCAGGCUAGAGUAUGGCAGAGGGGGGUAGAAUUCCACGUGUAGCAGUGAAAUGCGUAGAGAUGUGGAGGAAUACCGAUGGCGAAGGCAGCCCCCUGGGCCAAAUACUGACGCUCAUGCACGAAAGCGUGGGGAGCAAACAGGAUUAGAUACCCUGGUAGUCCACGCCCUAAACGAUGUCAACUAGUUGUCGGGGAUUCAUUUCCUUAGUAACGUAGCUAACGCGUGAAGUUGACCGCCUGGGGAGUACGGUCGCAAGAUU
rnacentral:rRNA from 1 species